rnacentral:rRNA from 1 species
AGCAGCCGCGGUAAUUCCAGCUCCAAUAGCGUAUAUUAAAGUUGUUGCAGUUAAAAAGCUCGUAGUUGAAUUUCGGGAUCAAAGGAUCGGUCAUGCCUUGGUAUGUACUGGUUUUAUUGGUUCUCACCUUCUAAAGAACCAUAAUGUCAUUCAUUUGAUGUAUGGGAAUUAGGACUGUUACCUUGAAAAAUUGAGUGUUUAAAGCAGGCUUACGCUUGAAUACAUUAGCAUGGAAUAAUGAAAUAGGACAUCAGAUUCUAUUUUUGUUGGUUUCUAGGAUCGAUGUAAUGAUUAAUAGGGAUAGUU